rnacentral:rRNA from 2 species
UAAGGUGGCCAUUGCGACGGGGCUCACCUCUUCCCAUCCCGAACAGAGAAGUUAAGCCCGUCAGCGCCGAUGGUACUGCAUCGUGGGAGAGUAGGUCGCCGCCUUGU